UAGGAAGUUUAAAUGCUUCUAUGUGUUCAAACCAAUAAUCGAUUCACAAUUAUUCUCUCCUUCUUGUACGGUAGGUACAAUGUUUUUUAUAAACUUAGCAAAGUUUAGAGUAUUGAGAUAGAACAACAUUUUUUGCUGUCAUUUCUUAAAGUUUACGCCUCCAAAAUUUUUUGAUUUUUCCCCAUGUGGGAUUGCAGUAUUUUGUAGUGGUACAGCCAACGGCGGAACCACAUUGUUAGUACCAUUUUGACUUGAAGUAGUCUCAAUGGUAGUCAUUUCUGUUACACAAACAGAAGUUUAACGAAACAACAAAUGAAGUGAAGAAUAGCACACAAAGCACUUUUCAAAAUGAAUGAACGUGACGGGUUUCUUCACAAAAAAUCACAGACACAAGAUUUUGUCUUAAGAUUGUUGUUUUGGGCUUUAUAUGCAUGCGGUAAAGGGUUGUUUGAAUAUAGGGCAAAAAAGACAAAGUUUAAUCCAAAGGAGCGUAAUUAAGCACAAUUUAUAUAGGGUUGAAAAUGGAUUAAAACAAAUAAAACCGGAAGUAAAACCAAGAAAGGAGAAAAAAUAUAGAAUGAUCCGAGACAAGUGAAUUUCACUCUUUUCUUAAGACAAAAUUUCCCCGCACUGGUAAUCACGGAUCAUGGCACUUGUCUUUCAAGAUACAACGGAUUCAACUUGUGGUAGAAGAACUUCAAACCACAAGUUACAAUGAACUUUCGACGGAGUUUCCAUCUACUCUAAGAAAAAGGUUUUUGAAUGAAUUUGGGAGAGAUUUUGCAAGAGAUUUAUGAUAUGCUCAAUGCAAGUAUGAUAUGGUGUGCAAAAAUGACGUCCAAGGGGUCCUAUUUAUAGAGGAUAAGGGGUUGUGGACGAAGUGAUGCAGGCCAAACCUUGCAACCUUUCAUCGCUAGCUUUCCGCUCGACUCUCGCUCAAAAUUUUUAAGAGACUUUUUUGCUGCUUUUCGCUAGAUCGUCGCUCGAGUACAUCUUUUCCUUUAUUUUUCUCCUUAGAUUUGGACUAUAAUUUCUCAUUCAUUCGGAUUUGGUUUUGAGAUUUCAAAUAUACUAUGACGAUCUAUUCGACAAGUAGAACAAGAUGAUCUAUUUACAUUUGUAGUUUGACCAUCGAAUCAAACCGAAUAUUUGGUUGAAGUUCACAUGAAAGUCACUUUUCCAAUUUUGGUUUUUAACACAACCAAAUUUUGCUUAAUUUUAAACCAAUUUCCAACAACAGUAUCUGUGCUAUGAUGAAUCCAGAUGUAAGGUGCAUGCGAUAUCUUCAAACCCUCCACUAGACAUGGGUGAAUCACAUAUCUCUCCUAAAAUUCAGAACGUGAAGUUCCGCCAAAUUCACUGCUCUAAGGAUCACAAUUGGAUGACUAUUAUGAGGUACACAACAUGGCAAAAUUGUUAAGUCAACAAAAAAGAUUGCACAGAAAAAAGAGGAGGGAGACCACCGUAUCCAAUUAGAGGGUGAGACCGAGAAGUGGGACGCA
rnacentral:lncRNA from 1 species